GCUCCAGAAGGAACAUCCCACUUGCGUCUGCUGACACAAAAGAAUGCUGUGGCUGGGAGAUCUUAUCAAGCUUUCCUGUGCCCCAGUAACAGAGCUCCAGUUGUGUCUUGUUUGUUACAGUAAUCAGUACAUAUAAGAGAUAUAUAACUGGUAGUAAGACGUGCCAAGGAAAAGGGUGACUGCAAGCUUCCUACAAGGUCAACGCUUGAGAUGGACAUUGAUGAUUUUUCCCUUCUGUAUCUUCAUGGAGUACUUUCUGAAAGGGCCUUUGCCAUAAAUGUAUUUGUAUUCAGUUACUUCAACAAAAAAAACCCAAUUAUUCUCCUCCUAUUCUACCCAAGAUUCGGAGGAUCAAAGUAUUACCAAGACAACACCUUUGUUUGUAAGAUAUUGGUUAUUAAAAUUAUUAAAUGUUGUAAUUAAUUACGUAUACAUUUGUUUACUCUCAGCGAACUGUGAGCAUCUUGAGGACAGGAGCUAGAUCAUAUUCAUCUUCUUGUCUCCAUUGCCCAGCACAAUGUCUUGUACAUGUUAGUGUUCACUAGAUAUUUGUUGGAUGGAUAGAUGAUGGAUGGAUAGAUUGACAGGUGAUAGGUGGCUGGCUGACCAUGCUAUAGUGCCUACAGUUACAAAUGACUCGUCUACAUGGUUCGUGCCAUGACAAUACCUGUUAAUCCUCCAGGACUUUAUUAUCUCACUGUUAGAUGCAUAAAAUAAAGAGAUUUUUCAAGAUCACAUAGCCCAGCUCCUUCAGUUUACAGCUGAGGAAAUGAGACUUAGAGAGAGAAUCUCAUUUAUUCACAGUCCCACGCUAAUAAGUAAGAAGCAGAUCUGGGGUAAAAUUCAGAUCUCUUGCUUUUCAGUCAAAUGCCUGCUACAUUAUGUUGCUCUCCAUGACUCAUAUUUGGAGGCUUCAUGGGACCCCGUGGAGCAAUCUGUCACUCUUGGCUUAUCUGUGAGAGAAAGUGGAACUAGAGAAAAACCAGGUGAAAGGAGCCUACGGGCUGCCGAAUUCAUAUGUUGAUGGUACUGAAGGAAGGUAAGAACAGAAUGACUCAUCUUUAUUCAGGCUGAUGUCAUUCCGCGUUGCUCUCAGAAGACGCCACACUCAAAAUUCAGCGGGUGUUCUAUUCCCUCCCUAGUCUCCUCGAUAACCUUUGGAUCUGGUGCAGUCCAGCCCUACUCCGCUGGCCAAAAUUUCCGUUUGACACAGAGUCAAGCCUUUCAAAGCCCUUUCCAGAGAAGCUCAUGCUAGCCACCUGACGGUGAGGCUGGACUGCUGACUCUUUCUCUAGAUAAUUCCACUGUAAGGACAGGCUCCCAGCAUAUCAUCUCUGAUUGCCUGGAUUUCUGUUUCUCUGAAUUAUGCCCAGUCACACUGCAUCUAAAUACUUGUGGUUGACCUGUACUUAAAAUCCUUUCAUUAAGAACCUGACCUUUGAAGCUAUUUUAGAAUGAACACAUAACAACACAGAUGAAUCUUGAAAUAAUUAUGCUGCGCAAAAGAAACCAGACCAAAAAAAAAAAAAAAAAAAACAGUACAUACUGCCUGACUCCAUUUAUAUAAAAAUCUAGAAAAUGCAAACUAAUCUUGAUUGAGAGAAAGCACAUCAGUGGUUACCUGGGGACGUGGGCAAGGAGAGGUAGAGAGGGGAGGUUGGAAAGAGAAAGGAGUGAAUUUUGACAGUGAUGAAUAUUUUACUCACUUGAGUAUAGUGAUGGUUUCCUAUGUAUAUGUAUAUGUUACAACUUAUCAAGAUAUGCAACUUAAAUAUGUGCAGUUUAUUUUAUGUCAAUUAUAUCUGAAUAAAACUGUUUUUUUUAAGAAUGCAA